rnacentral:rRNA from 1 species
GUUAAAGUAGGAAAGGGCGUAUGGUGGAUGCCUUGGCAUGUGAUGGCGAUGAAGGACGCGAAAAGCUGCGAAAAGCUACGGGGAGCUGCAAUAAAGCUUCGAUCCGUAGGUCUCCGAAUGGGGCAACCCUUUAAAUCCGCAAGGAUGGCCAACCCGCUGAACUGAAACAUCUAAGUAAGCGGAGGAAAAGAAAACAACAGUGAUUCCGUAAGUAGUGGCGAGCGAACGCGGAACAGCCCAAACCAAGUCGGGUCACCGAUUUGGGGUAGUAGGACUCACGAGCGAGUUUAAUUAGGAAGUCGAAACUGUCUGGAAAGCAGUUCCACAGAAGGUGAAAGACCUGUAGGCGAAUCUUAAUUAAGCCGAUGUGAGUAUCCUGAGUAGCGCGGGACCGGUGAAAUCCUGCGUGAACCAGCCGGCACCAUCCGGUAAGGCUAAAUACAAACACAUGACCGAUAGUGAACUAGUACCGUGAGGGAAAGGUGAAAAGAACGCCGAGACGGCGAGUGAAAUAGUCCCUGAAACCAUACGCUUACAAGCGGUCGGAGCCUCUUCGGAGGUGACGGCGUGCCUUUUGCAUAAUGAGCCUACGAGUUGCACCUACUGUGCUGGUUAAGCCCCUAAGGGGCGGAGCCGAAGCGAAAGCGAGUCUGAAUAGGGCGAAUAGAGUACAGUGGGGCAGACGCGAAACCGAGUGAUCUAUCCAUGGCCAGGGUGAAGUUUCGGUAACACGAGAUGGAGGCCCGAACCCGUUGACGUUGAAAAGUCUUGGGAUGAGCUGUGGAUAGGGGUGAAAGGCCAAUCAAACUCGGAGAUAGCUCGUUCUCCCCGAAAUAUAUUUAGGUAUAGCGUGCACUUAGAACCAGUCGGAGGUAGAGCACUGAUUAGGCUAGGGCCCUUCACCGGGUACCAAACCUUGACAAACUCCGAAUUCCGACUGGGAAUCGUGCGCAGUCAGCGGCAGGGUGAUAACGUCCUGCUGCGAAAGGGAAACAACCCAGACUAUCGAAUAAGGUCCCUAAAUACUAGCUAAGUUGAUAAAAGAAAGUUGGAUUGCCCAGACAACCAGGAGGUUGGCUUAGAAGCAGCCAUUCCUUAAAAGAGUGCGUAAUAGCUCACUGGUCGAGUGAUCCGGCGUCGAUAAUUUGCGGGCAUAAGCUAGUUACCGAAACCAUGGAUUCUAUCACUUGAUAGAGUGGUAGGGGAGCAUACCGACCCCGCCGAAGGCGGCCUGUGAGGGCUGCUGGAGGGGUCGGCAGAGAAACUGUAGGCAUGAGUAACGAUAAGACGGGCGAGAAACCCGUCCACCGAAAACCCAAGGGUUCCUGAUCAACGCUAAUCGGAUCAGGGUUAGUCGAGACCUAAGGUGUAGCCGAAAGGCGAAGCCGAUGGAAAACCGGUUCAAUAUUCCGGUACCGACUCCAACGUCAGGCAAAGGCGUGACGCAGAAGUGACACUUCCGCCUCUCUACGGAAUGGGAGGUUAAAGGAUGUAGGCUGCGGGGCAGGCAAAUCCGCCCCGCGAUCGGCUGAACUCCGACAGUACCGGGAGGCUUCGGCCAAACGGAUAGUGAAGGUAAUCUGGCUGCCAAGAAAAGCGUCGUUGUUUGUUGGAGCUGCUCGUACCCCAAACCAACACAGGUGGGUGAGGAGAGAAUCCUCAGGUGCUCGAGAAAAUCGUGGCUAAGGAACUAGGCAAAUUCGAUCCGUAACUUCGGGAGAAGGAUCCCCUGCCCUGAUUCGUCAGGGCGGGGCGCAGUGAAAAGGUUCAAGCGACUGUUUACCAAAAACACAUGUCUCUGCUAAGCCGCAAGGCGAUGUAUAGGGACUGACACCUGCCCGGUGCCGGAAGGUUAAAGAAGGGAGUUAGCUUCGGCGAAGCUCUUGAUCGAAGCCCCAGUAAACGGCGGCCGUAACUAUAACGGUCCUAAGGUAGCGAAAUUCCUUGUCGGGUAAGUUCCGACCUGCACGAAUGGUGUAACGACUUGAACACUGUCUCGGCCACGAGCUCGGUGAAAUUGUGGUAUCGGUGAUGACGCCGAUUACCCGCAGCGGGACGGAAAGACCCCGUGAACCUUUACUACAACUUUACAUUGGCUUCGGUAAUAACAUGUGUAGGAUAGGCGGGAGACUACGAACUUCUAGCGCCAGCUAGGGGGGAGUCACCCUUGAAAUACCGCCCUUGUUAUUGCUGGUGUCUAACCCUGACGGGGACAGUGUAUGGUGGGUAGUUUGACUGGGGCGGUCGCCUCCUAAAUUGUAACGGAGGCUCCCAAAGGUACCCUCGGUACGGUCGGCAAUCGUACUAAGAGUGUAAAAGCAAAAGGGUGCUUGACUGCGAGACAUACAAGUCGAGCAGGAACGAAAGUUGGGUUUAGUGAUCCGGUGGCACCGCAUGGAAGGGCCAUCGCUCAAAGGAUAAAAGGUACUCCGGGGAUAACAGGCUUAUCUCCCCCAAGAGUUCACAUCGACGGGGAGGUUUGGCACCUCGAUGUCGGCUCAUCGCAUCCUGGGGCUGGAGAAGGUCCCAAGGGUUUGGCUGUUCGCCAAUUAAAGCGGUACGCGAGCUGGGUUCAGAACGUCGUGAGACAGUUCGGUCUCUAUCUGCUGUGGGCGUCGAAACACUGAGGAGGGCUGACCCUAGUACGAGAGGACCGGGUUGGACACACCGCUGGUGUACCUGUUGCGCUGUCAAGUGCAUCGCAGGGUAGCUAAGUGUGGAAGUGAUAAGCCGCUGAACGCAUCUAAGCGCGAAGCAUGCUCCAAGAUAAGUGUUUCCUUAAGAGUCCUGGAAGACUACCAGGUAGAUAGGCGGUAGGUGUACGCAUGGUAACAUGUUUAGCCGAGCCGUACUAAUCACUCUUGUGGCUUUGCUCG